CCUCAUUAGUCGGGGUGCUGCAUUUUGCGGCUGAGAUAAUACCCGUGAACCUGAAACAGCUAAUACUGGCGUAGGGAACUAACCGCAAGCCUUU
rnacentral:ncRNA from 2 species